rnacentral:rRNA from 1 species
GACGAACGCUGGCGGCGUGCUUAACACAUGCAAGUCGAACGCUGAAGCUUGGUGCUUGCCCUGGGUGGAUGAGUGGCGAACGGGUGAGUAAUACGUGAGUAACCUGCCCUUGACUUUGGGAUAAGCCUGGGAAACUGGGUCUAAUACUGGAUAUGACAUGCCACUGCAUGGUGGUGUGUGGAAAGGGUUUUACUGGUUUUGGAUGGGCUCACGGCCUAUCAGCUUGUUGGUGGGGUAAUGGCCUACCAAGGCGACGACGGGUAGCCGGCCUGAGAGGGUGACCGGCCACACUGGGACUGAGACACGGCCCAGACUCCUACGGGAGGCAGCAGUGGGGAAUAUUGCACAAUGGGCGGAAGCCUGAUGCAGCGACGCCGCGUGAGGGAUGACGGCCUUCGGGUUGUAAACCUCUUUCAGCACGGAAGAAGCGAGAGUGACGGUACGUGCAGAAGAAGCGCCGGCUAACUACGUG